rnacentral:rRNA from 1 species
GACGUAGGGCGCAAGCGUUGUCCGGAUUUAUUGGGCGUAAAGAGCUCGUAGGCGGCUUGUCGCGUCGAAUGUGAAAACUCGGGGCUCAACCCCGCGCUUGCAUUCGAUACGGGUAGGCUCGAGUUCGGUAGGGGAGACUGGAAUUCCUGGUGUAGCGGUGAAAUGCGCAGAUAUCAGGAGGAACAGCCGGUGGCGAAGGCGGGUCUCUGGGCCGAUACUGACGCUGAGGAGCGAAAGCGUGGGGAGCGAACAGG